rnacentral:rRNA from 1 species
UCCUACGGGAGGCAGCAGUGGGGAAUAUUGCACAAUGGGGGAAACCCUGAUGCAGCGACGCCGCGUGAGUGAGGAAGUAUUUCGGUAUGUAAAGCUCUAUCAGCAGGGAAGAAAAUGACGGUACCUGACUAAGAAGCCCCGGCUAACUACGUGCCAGCAGCCGCGGUAAUACGUAGGGGGCAAGCGUUAUCCGGAAUUAUUGAGUGUAAAGGGUGCGUAGACGGGAUGUCAAGUUAGUUGUGAAAUACCUCGGCUCAACUGAGGAACUGCAACUAAAACUAACAUUCUUGAGUGCAGGAGGGGAA